rnacentral:rRNA from 1 species
UCUAGAGUAUCAAUUUACAACCCGAAGGCCUUCAUACUUCCCACGGCAUUGCUGGAUCAGGUUUGCGCCCAUUGUAUAAAAUUCCCCAGCGCUGCCUCCCCUAAG